rnacentral:sRNA from 1 species
CCUGGGGUUUUACCCCAGGCUGAGGAAUGCUGCACCUUCGGUGCU